GAUGAAGAACGCAGCGAAAUGCGAUAAGUAAUGUGAAUUGCAGAAUUCAGUGAAUCAUCGAAUCUUUGAACGCACAUUGCGCCCGCCAGUAUUCUGGCGGGCAUGCCUGUUCGAGCGUCAUUUCAACCAUCAAGCCCCCGGCUUGUGUUGGGGACCUGCGGCUGCCGCAGGCCCUGAAAUGCAGUGGCGGGCUCGCUGUCACUCCGAGCGUAGUAGUUACAUCUCGCUCUGGGCGUGCUGCGGGUUCCGGCCGUUAAAAGCCUUAUUUACCCAAGGUUGACCUCGGAUCAGGUAGGAAGACCCGCUGAACUUAAGCAUAUCAAUAAGCGA
rnacentral:misc_RNA from 1 species